rnacentral:tRNA from 1 species
GCCUCCCUAGUAUAAAAGUACAAACGGCUUCCAACCGUUUAGCCCCAGGCAGCCCUGGGGGAAGGCA